GCUAGUUGUACGAGUUCAGACUCGUAGCAUAUAGCUCAGUAACACGUGGCCAAACUACCCUACAGACCGCAAUAACCUCGGGAAACUGAGGCCAAUAGCGGAUAUAACUCUCAUGCUGGAGUGCCGAGAGUUAGAAACGUUCCGGCGCUGUAGGAUGUGGCUGCGGCCGAUUAGGUAGAUGGUGGGGUAACGGCCCACCAUGCCGAUAAUCGGUACGGGUUGUGAGAGCAAGAACCCGGAGACGGUAUCUGAGACAAGAUACCGGGCCCUACGGGGCGCAGCAGGCGCGAAACCUUUACACUGCACGACAGUGCGAUAGGGGGACUCCGAGUGUGAGGGCAUAUAGCCCUCGCUUUUCUGUACCGUAAGGUGGUACAGGAACAAGGACUGGGCAAGACCGGUGCCAGCCGCCGCGGUAAUACCGGCAGUCCAAGUGAUGGCCGAUAUUAUUGGGCCUAAAGCGUCCGUAGCCGGCCGGACAAGUCCGUUGGGAAAUCGACGCGCUCAACGCGUCGGCGUCCAGCGGAAACUGUCCGGCUUGGGGCCGGAAGACCUGAGGGGUACGUCCGGGGUAGGAGUGAAAUCCUGUAAUCCUGGACGGACCACCAAUGGGGAAACCACCUCAGGAAGACGGACCCGACGGUGAGGGACGAAAGCUAGGGUCUCGAACCGGAUUAGAUACCCGGGUAGUCCUAGCUGUAAACGAUGCUCGCUAGGUGUGCCGCAGGCUACGAGCCUGCGCUGCGCCCUAGGGAAGCCGAGAAGCGAGCCGCCUGGGAAGUACGUCUGCAAGGAUGAAACUUAAAGGAAUUGGCGGGGGAGCACCACAACCGGAGGAGCCUGCGGUUUAAUUGGACUCAACGCCGGAAAUCUCACCGGUCCCGACAGUAGUAAUGACAGUCAGGUUGACGACUUUACUCGACGCUACUGAGAGGAGGUGCAUGGCCGCCGUCAGCUCGUACCGUGAGGCGUCCUGUUAAGUCAGGCAACGAGCGAGACCCGCACUUCUAGUUGCCAGCAUACCCUUGAGGUAGUUGGGUACACUAGGAGGACUGCCGCUGCUAAAGCGGAAGAAGAACGGGCAACGGUAGGUCAGUAUGCCCCGAAUGGACCGGGCAACCGCGGGCUACAUGGCUAUGAAAGGGGGAUGCACGCCCGAAAGCGACCUAUUUCCAACG
rnacentral:rRNA from 1 species